CGAAGGGGCUAGCGUUGUUCGGAAUUACUGGGCGUAAAGGGCGCGUAGGCGGCUGCCCAAGUCAGAUGUGAAAGCCCCGGGCUUAACCUGGGAAUUGCAUUUGAGACUGGGCGGCUUGAGUUCCGGAGAGGUGGGUGGAAUUCCCAGUGUAGAGGUGUAAUUCGUAGAUAUUGGGAAGAACACCGGUGGCGAAGGCGGCCCACUGGACGGACACUGACGCUGAGGCGCGAAAGCGUGGGGAGCAAACAGGAUUAGAUACCCUGGUAGUCCACGCUGUAAACGAUGAGUGCUAGACGUUGGGGCUCUUAGAGUCUCGGUGUCGCAGCUAACGCAUUAAGCACUCCGCCUGGGGAGUACGGCCGCAAGGUUA
rnacentral:rRNA from 1 species